UGACCUCGGAUCAUGUAGGGAUACCCGCUGAACUUA
rnacentral:rRNA from 1 species